AGCGAACGCUGGCGGCAGGCUUAACACAUGCAAGUCGAACGGUCCUUCGGGAUAGUGGCGGACGGGUGAGUAACACGUGGGAACGUACCCUUAGGUUCGGAACAACACAGGGAAACUUGUGCUAAUACCGGAUAAGCCCUUCGGGGGAAAGAUUUAUCGCCUUUGGAGCGGCCCGCGUCUGAGUAGCUUGUUGGUGAGGUAAUGGCUCACCAAGGCUACGAUCAGUAGCUGGUCUGAGAGGACGGCCGGCCACACUGGGACUGAGACACGGCCCAGACUCCUACGGGAGGCAGCAGUGGGGAAUCUUGCGCAAUGGGCGAAAGCCUGACGCAGCCAUGCCGAGUGGAUGAUGAAGGUCUUAGGAUUGUAAAAUCCUUUCACCGGGGACGAUAAUGACGGUACCCGGAGAAGAAGCCCCGGCUAACUUCGUGCCAGCCGCCGCAGUAA
rnacentral:rRNA from 1 species